rnacentral:rRNA from 1 species
GCCGCCCUCUUUCUUCUUUCUUAACACAUGCAAGUCGAACGGAAAGGCCCUGCUUUUGUGGGGUGCUCGAGUGGCGAACGGGUGAGUAACACGUGAGUAACCUGCCCUUGACUUUGGGAUAACUUCAGGAAACUGGGGCUAAUACCGGAUAGGAGCUCCUGCUGCAUGGUGGGGGUUGGAAAGUUUCGGCGGUUGGGGAUGGACUCGUGGCUUAUCAGCUUGUUGGUGGGGUAGUGGCUUACCAAGGCUUUGACGGGUAGCCGGCCUGAGAGGGUGACCGGCCACAUUGGGACUGGGAUACGGCCCAGACUCCUACGGGAGGCAGCAGUGGGGAAUAUUGCACAAUGGGCGGAAGCCUGAUGCAGCAACGCCGCGUGCGGGAUGACGGCCUUCGGGUUGUAAACCGCUUUCGCCUGUGACGAAGCGUGAGUGACGGUAAUGGGUAAAGAAGCACCGGCUAACUACGUG